AGACGCCGCCGCCGCCGCCACUAUUAUAUUAAAUGAUAUUACGGUUGCGUUGCGUGAUGCUGCAGCAUGACUGGAAUUUAUAGACGCUAUUAUUGUAAAAUACGCGUUUGCCGGGCCGCAGCUGCUCGUCGUGUUUUAUAUUAUAAGUGCAAUUAUUAAGAGAAACAUAUUAUAUAGGUACGGGGAAUAAAGUCCGUGUAUUAUUAUUAUUGUUGUACAGUUUGACCUUACGUCGGAAAACGCAAAGGAAAAGAAGACGUAUAAUAAUAAAUAUAAAAGAGAAGAAGAAGAAAAAAAAAAAGGUAUACGUGCGCGCGGCGAGUUUGAAAACCGAAUAGCUGUUGUGUAUAGACCGCAGCAGCAGCAGUCGGUACAGUCGGUAUUCCUAAAAUGGACGAGAAAAAUGCAACGGAUCGUUUAACCUAAUGAAACGCAAAAUGUUAAGAUUAAAAAAAAAACACACACACACAAAUACAAUGAACACAUCGUAUAUAGAAUAAUAAAUUAGACGAAAUAAUUAUUACGAGAUGAUUGCGGUGUCGUUGUUAAAAAACCGAACCGACCGCGUUCAGUUGGUCGGAUAUAAACUCGGUGCUGUUAUUCGGAUUUCGGACAGUUCUUUCCGCACUGCAAUAAACCCAUGAAAGAAAUGAUGUUUUUCCCGUCCGCAGCCUAUCCGACAUGGUUUCGCAUAAAAAAAUACCGAGAGUUUUUCCGCUUACAGUCACGACAACACGUGUUAUAGUGGCGGAUGGAAGCGAUGGUCGAAGAACGUCACCGGACGAUACAACAUUGGAAUAUUUGAGAUUGUUCUUCGAUGUUUUGUCCCCUCGUCAAAAGUACGGGGAAAAACCGACCUCGUUCCGUUUGAGAUACGCGGUAAGUAAUCAGGACUCGAAUAAGUAAUAGCACUAAACAAAUGUACUUUUGGUGUUUUAAUUAUGCAUUUAAAUUCACCAAAAUAAGCGAUAUAAAUAGCACUGAAAAUUGGAAAAUAUGCGCAAAAUGAAAUCUCCCAACAUUUAAUCCGAUAAUCCGAAAGCAGUUCGACGCGACCGACGCGAAUUAAAAAAUAACCAAAUUAUUGAAAACUACAACGGGAUUUAUUGUCCGACAAGACGUACAAUCGCGUACACGGUUCGCAAAACCGGGACGUGUGGACAUCGUUGACGAAAAAAAAACCCCCCCGAAAAAUCCCUCGCAAUCGAAAUCGGCGCACGCUCGUGUAUUGUUAUUGUGGUGCGCGUGUGUACAGAAUUACAUUGU